UACAGAGGGGGCAAGCGUUGUUCGGAAUUACUGGGCGUAAAGGGCGCGUAGGCGGCCUGUUAAGUCGAACGUGAAAUCCCCGGGCUCAACCCGGGAACUGCGUCCGAUACUGGCAGGCUUGAAUCCGGGAGAGGGAUGCAGAAUUCCAGGUGUAGCGGUGAAAUGCGUAGAUAUCUGGAGGAAUACCGGUGGCGAAGGCGGCAUCCUGGACCGGCAUUGACGCUGAGUGAGCGAAAGCCAGGGGAGCAAACGGG
rnacentral:rRNA from 1 species